UAUUUCGUUUUCGCUUUUGGGAAUUUCCCUUUUUACUUUGAGAAAAUUAGAGUGUUUCAAGCAGACUUUUGUCUUGAAUACUUCAGCAUGGAAUAAUAGAGUAGGACUUUGGUUCUAUUUUGUUGGUUAUUGAACCUUAGUAAUGGUUAAUAGGAACGGUUGGGGGCAUUCGUAUUUAACUGUCAGAGGUGAAAUUCUUAGAUUUGUUAAAGACGAACUACUGCGAAAGCAUUUGCCAAGGACGUUUCCAUUAAUCAAGAACGAAAGUUAGGGGAUCGAAGACGAUCAGAUACCGUCGUAGUCCUAACCAUAAACUAUGCCGACUAGUGAUUGGAGGUCGUCGUUUUUUGACCCCUU
rnacentral:rRNA from 1 species